rnacentral:rRNA from 1 species
GUUAGGAAUAUUGGACAAUGGGCGCAAGCCUGAUCCAGCCAUGCCGCGUGAGUGAUGAAGGCCUUCGGGUUGUAAAGCUCUUUAGCCGAUGAUUAUAAUGACUGUAGUCGGAAAAUAAGCCCCGGCUAACUUCGUGCCAGCAGCCGCGGUAAUACGAAGGGGGCGAGCGUUAUUCGGAAUCACUGGGCGUAAAGCGUGCGUAGGCGGCUUUGCAAGUUGGGAGUGAAAGCCCAGGGCUCAACCCUGGAAUUGCUCUCAAAACUGCAAGGCUCGAAUUCGGGAGAGGAUAGCGGAAUUGUCAGUGUAGCAGUGAAAUGCGUAGAUAUUGACAGGAACACCAGUGGCGUAAGCGGCUAUCUGGACCGAUAUUGACACUGAGGCACGAAAGCGUGGGGAUCAAACAGGAUUAGAAACCCUGGUAGUCC